AGUCGCACACGCAAAGGCGGCUGCCCAGCCCACUGUCCCGCACAGGCCCAGCUGCAGCCGUGUCCUCAACCCUGCUCCCUAAGCACUACCCGCACAGCGGCCGGAAGAAGAGGUGAGGGUGCAGAGCGCCCCCAGGACCGCCGGCCAAACCCGGUUACCUGGGCGGGCUGCCCGGCGGAGGGAGCCAGCCAGGCCGGGCCGGGCCGCCUCACACCCGCGGCGGCGGCAGCAGCGGCGGCGGCGGCGGCGGCGGCGGCAGCGGAGGCGGGUCCUCUGCGCGCCCUCUCCGGGGCGGGGCGGGGGCGGAGCCGCCUGCUGAUUGGCCGACGGUUUCUGACGGACAGAAGGCUUGUCCCGCCCCUCCCCUUCGGCCGCGCAGGGCUGGCCCGCAGGCCGCUCCUGCGACUGCCGAGACUCGUCCGCCCCGCCCCUGCGGCCAGUGUGGCUUUUGACAGUCCGGUCUUUUGGAGAAGCCCCCCAGUCCUGGGCGUCCCCUGUAGGGCCUUUAGACCCGUGGCCCCCAGUGGCCUAAACCUCGGCGCCCUCCACUCAUCAGCCACUGCCCGCCCCACCUCGCGCUCUGCCUCCACGCGCCCUUGCAAACGCUCUCCGGAGCUUUGGUUAUCCCAGACUAACUCCCCGCGUUUUCCUCCUUCCUUUCAGGUCGCUGCCUUUCAGCCCCAGAAAUUUUUCUUCCUCUGGGCUGGGUCCUGAACCAGUUCCUAAGACGACCUGACCUUCUCCAUGGCUUCACCCCCAGACCCAGGGCACCCAUAGCGCCAAAUCUGUAUCUCCCAAGCAUCCAACUGCCGGCUCCACGUCCCUCUUCAAACUGCUCUUCCUGCUGUCGUUACUUUCUCAGAACAUGGCCCCAAUUCUUCUAAGAUGCUUGGGCCAAGACCCUUGGAGGUAUCCUUGAGCCCUCAGUCGGCCUCCACCACCCAGCAAUCUUACUUGCCCCUGCAAUGUGGACACCCCUGUCACAGACAAACUGAAGACACCUGUGGUCACAGUGGAGCCCAUCUGACAGAUGUUGAGUCAGGCAGAGCAGGACAACUUCAGAGGCGAGAGGCCCAGCAGAGCACCCAGCUGGUGCCAGAGAAAGAUCCAGGCUUCUGGAAUUUGGCCAGGCCCCCAGGGGCUCCAGAAAUCUCUGUCAACAGGAGCUCAAGUUUUCAGCCUGCUGCCAGGCCCUUAAUCAGAAAACAAGGCCCCAUUUCCUCCUGGGACUUCUGAACCAGCAUCCCAAGCCUCAGAUGAAAAAACUGAGGCACAGAGAGAUUAAGAGACAUGUUUAUGGACAUAGAACUGAGAGGUGGCAGAGAGGGGAUUCAAACCCAGGCAUCCUGGCUGCGGAGUCAAUGCUAUGUUGCCUCUCAUGUAGGCCUGCCACCACUGAGGGAGCCCUUCACAAUCGUUCUUGACCAGGAUUUAGUUGCCAUGCACCUGCCCUCAGAAGACCUGUAGGAAGAUCCCUGCUGGGAAAGGUAGGCACGAGCUGCUGCUGCCCAUGAGUAAAAUCAUGCCUGUGAGGCCUCCUGUCCCUAAUCCCUAGUUAUGGACUAAGAUUUGUACCCUGGUUGUGGCAGGUCCUGCUCCAGUCCCAAACCUUGGGCCCACGUUCUCAUCACUCACCCCCAAGCCAUAAAGUACAGUGUACUGAUCAGGUGUUGUAAGAGCCUC